rnacentral:rRNA from 1 species
GACGAACGCUGGCGGCGCGCUUAACACAUGCAAGUCGAGCGAAGCGGCGGACGGGUGAGUAACACGUGAGUAACCUGCCUUAGACAUUGGGAUAGCCUCGGGAAACCGGGAAUAAUACCAAAUGGUCUAAGAUGGACUCGCGUCCCAUUAGCUAGUUGGUGAGGUAACGGCCCACUAAGGCGACGAUGGGUAGCCGGCCUGAGAGGGUGAGCGGCCAAAUUUGAACGGAGAAACGGUCCAAAAUAUACGGGAGGCAGCAGUGGGGAAUAUUGCACAAUGGAGGGAAAUCUGAUGCAGCGACGCAGCGUGAACGAAGAAGGCGGUCGAGAAGUAAAGGUCUUUAAUAUGGGAAGCGGUACCAGAAGAAAAAGCACCGGCUAACUACGUGCCAGCCGCCGCGGUAAUAC